rnacentral:lncRNA from 1 species
GAAAAAUGACCAAAAUGCCCCUGUGAGACAAAAAUUAUUUUUCUAUUGUUUUGAUUUGGAAAUAGUUUAUAACGUAUCAAAACAUGUUAUUUUACAACUGUUGAUCACAAGGGAAGUGAGAAAACUGAUAUUAAAGCCUUGCGAAGUUUCGAUCGGCAUUCCGGGCGAUGAAUAUCUAUCGGGACAUCGCGGUGGUUGUCAAGGGCUCGAAGAGAGUACCGGGUCGUGACAGUUUAUCUGUGAAAUGAAUCUGUAAUUCCUCGCAUAUGGGGCGAGUUAUGAUUUGUGCAUGAUUUUAAAUAUUAUUUGGUUCGCGAGAGCUUGUUAAAUUUUAUUGAUUUGAUUUGAAAAUGAUUAUUAAUAUAUUUUGAUGCGAAAAAUUUUAUUACCUCUAUUAUUUAUACUUUAUAAGAAAUUCUCGAUUUCUAUAUAAGGCACAAACCCUCGUUUGAAACGAAUUGCUUUUAUAAUCUUGCAUUUUUAUAUUCAACUGAUCUGUCAUUUGCUUGUUUUCCCAUCCACGCCCUACUCGUUGAGUCGAUGAUUAUCACUAAGUUUAUAAGACUCACAACCCAUUAUUUCCCCUUUUGCAGAUAGGGAUCAACCUAGUGUGUGGUCAGUGAUGCGUUUGGUCCACUGUGAAUAGGUAAAGGCAUCUCCU